UAUGCUGAGGGUGCAGCCCUAAAAAGAAAAAAAAGAAAUGGUUUCCCAGUUCUGGAGACUAGAAGUCCGAGAUCAAGGUACUGGCCAGUCUGCUUCCUGCUGAGACUGUGAGGGGAGGAGCCAUUCCAGGCCCCUAUCCUAGUUUCCUGUGACUUGUUAUUAAUCUCUGUUCCUUGGUUUUCAGAAGCAGCAUCUUCCUCACUGUCUUCAUCUUCACAGUCAAACAUUGACCAUGUGGUGGUAUUUAAGGUUGCAUAUGUAUAUAAAGAAAACUAAGCACUUCUUGUACAUUUACUUUUAUGGCCUGAAAUGGUAUCUGCUACUCGGAGGGAAAAGGAGAUCUGGGUUAAAGUCAGGAGUCUCUCUUGCAGGCUGUGCGCACCACUGGGCAAUGACUCAGCCUUUGUGAACCUUGAGUUCCUCAUCAUUAAAAUGGGUAUGUUAAUAUUAGAUUUAACAUAUGAAACAACACUUUUGUAGGUCAAAAAUUGUUGAGUAUCAGCUAUUUCAUAUGAUUCAACUUAAUACCUACUUCACAGACAUAGGAAAAAACUAAAUAAGAUAAUAUUGUAGCACUGUCCCUGGUGUUUGGUAAAUCAUAAGUACAUGAUUUAUUAAAAUGUAUAUAAAUAAAACCCUAUGGCCUAAUGGUCGUAGUACAACCUAAGCUUAAAAUAUCUGCCCUCUCUGCCAUACAGAACAUGAAUUGCCUAUCAGGAGUCUUCUUUUUUCCCUCCUUCUUUCUUUUCUCCUUCUUUCUUCUUCUUCUCAAAAUUUAAUUUUUAUUCUCUUUCUUCUAUUCUUUUUAAUGUUUUUUUUUUAAAUAGCUAAUAUGCUUUUAUGGUUCAAAACUCAAAAAGUGUGUAAAAGAAAACCUCUCCCAUAGCAUCACUGUCCUUUAUCUGUCCAGAGUAUUAUGUCUUAUCUAUUUUCCUGAUAUUAAGCACAUUCAAAUGUGUAUACUGUGUGAGUUCUAAAAAUAGCUUUAAAAUAUCUGUAUUUAUAUGAAUAUGAUAUAUGCAUAUUUGUAGUCUAAGACUCAGUUUAUGAAUAAAUAGCUGAGGCCCACAGAAAUGCAGCCCCUUUGCCUGGAGUCAUUCAGAAUCAGUAAGACUUGCAUAUUAAUUAUACUUAUCUGGCACUCUAUGAGACCUCACAUUACAAAUAUUCACUUUAAAUGUAAAUAAUCUUUUUUUAGGCAAAUAAAAUCUUAUUUAUUUAUUUGUUUAUUUAUUGGCAAUGGAAGUCAGGUCAAAGUGCCUCAUUAUUCAAGCUUCGUAUUUGUGAAUUCUCCUACCUGCUAAUGAUUUACUUAUCAUCCCCAAAUAGAUAUCCAUGACAUUUUCCUAGUCAUUCCCAGAUAUGAGUAGAGGGACAAAAAAAUUUGAGUUGCUGAUUGUACACGUUCCCAGGUGAGGUCAAACAAGAUGACACUUGGCCUUCUUAUUUCAGGUCUCAUGCUAUGAACAAGAGUCCUUUUUGUGAUCUAUUUAAUGCUACAUGUUUCACAUUUCUGUGCUUUUAUUGGGUGAUUUUUGCUAUUUAAAAUGGCCCCUGUGAGUUCCCAUUGUGGCUCAGCAGUAACAAAUCCAAAUGGUAUCCAUGAGGACUUGGGUUCAGUCCCUGGCCCCACUCAAUGGGUUAAGGAUCAGGUAUUGAUAUAAGCUGUGGUGUAGGUAGCAGAUGCGGCUUGGAUUCCAUGUUACUGAGGCAGCUCCGACAGACCGCUAACAUGGGAACUUCCAUAUGCCGCAGGAGUGGCCCUAAAAAAACCAAAAAAAUAAAAGCAAUUUAAAAAUGCCCCUCAAAGAUAGUGCUGAAGUGAUAUCUACCACUCCUAAGAAUAAGAGGGCUGUGAUGUGCUUUAAGGACAAAAUACAGUGUUAGAGAAGCUUCUCUCAGGCAUAAAUUAUAGUGUUGUGGGCUGUGAGUUCAAUGUUAGUCAAUGAUAUACACUGAAUAAUGUGUCUUUAGGAGUUCUCUUAUGGUGUGGUGGGUUAAGGAUCCUGCAUUGUCACUACAGUGGCUUGGGUUGCUGCUGUGGCAUGAACCCCUGGCCCGGGAACUUCCACAUGCCAUGGAUGUGAGCUUCUCCUCCCCACCUCCAAAAGAAGAACACAUUGAAUAAUGUGUCUUUAAUCAGAAACACACAUGACACAAGAUUAUGGGUUCAGUUGAUAAAAAUUUUGUGACCUGAGGCUCAUAGGAACCUAACCCUGUAUUUCCCCUAGGAAUAGUGGUUCAGUAUUCACUAAUUCAAUGCUUGUAGCAACUUUAUAGAGUAUAACUACUACUAAUAAUGAGAAUUGAUGGUAUUUUAGAGUACAACACAUAGAAGUCAAGUUUUCCUCUCUUAGUGUCAGUCUGAUUUAAGUGUUUCUUUAAAAUUGUAGCUAUUGGAGUUCCCAUGGUGGCUCAGUGGUUAAUGAAUCUGACUAGGAACCAUGAGGUUGUGGGUUUGAUCCCUGGCCUUGCUCAAUCGGUUAAGGAUCUGGCGUUGCUGUGAGCUGUGGUGUAGGUCACAGACACAGCUCAGAUCCCGUGUUGCUGUGGCUCUGGUGUAGGCCAGCAGCUACAGCUUUGAUUAGAUCCCUAGCCUGGGAACCUCCAUAUGCAGCAGGAGUGGCCCUAGAAAAGGCAAAAAGACAAAAAUCAAAAAUCAAAAAAUAAAUAAAAAGUAAAAUGAUAGCUAUGUUACCAUAGCCCACAUUCUAUUUUUUGGCCUUUUAGGGACGUAUCUGUGUACCUGCAGCAUAUGGAGGUUCCCAGGCUAGGGGUUGAAUCGGAAGCUAUAGCCACUGACCUACUCCACAGCCAUAGCAAUGCCAGAUCCAAGCCAUGUCUGCAACCUACAGCAUAGGUCACAGCAAUGCCAGAUCCUUAACCCAGUGAGUAAGGCCAGGGAUCGAACCUGCGUCCUCAUGGAUACUAGUCAGAUUUGUUUCUGCUGAGGCAUGAUAGGAACUCCAGCUUUCUUGAGUUUAAAAAAAUAAAUCCUUUGUUGAUUGCAAAAAUGGCUCCUAAAUGCAGUUUUGGAGGGGAUGGCUUUAAAGCCAUUGUUGGUUUGAGUGGUUCAAAUAUCUUGCUAAUUUCAUAGGCUUUGAACCAAUUAUGAAGUAGAUAGUGUGGCAGUAGCUAUCAAGUUUGCAGUUUGUUUAGGAGUGUUUGUAUUUCUUUUUGGUGUUGAAGAAAUUUACAGUAAUCAUCAGUAGGGAAUUAUGAGUGCACAUCAUUGCAUUAAAACAUGGAAUUCAGCCCUACAUUGCCAUUAAUAGAAAAUGCAGUUUUUAUGUUAAUUAUAAUAAAAAGCAAGUGUUACUGAGCAAGUUUUUACUGAUUAUCCUAUGUAUUGCUAUGAUUACAGUUCCUAACAAAUAUGUUAUAUGUUAUUGAGGAAGUGGUAUAAUUCCUUGUGAUUUACUAAAAUGUAGAUACUUCCUAAAGGGACAACAUAGUAAAUUUUAUCCAUUUCUUACUGUUACUUUAUAUCAUUUUGGACCAUUGUACUUUAUAAAUAAACAUAGACAAUUUUGGUCAGUUAUACCUUACUGUGAAUGAGAUUACCAGAUGUUUUCAUGACCACAGAUUCCACCAGAAGGUAUCAGUGGCAAGAAAUGGGUUGGUGGGAGUUCAAAAGCACAUAGUGAGCUAAUCUGUGUAAACGGGCUUUUGUGGGUUGAAUUGUGUCCUUCUCAAAAAGAUAUGUUUGGAGUUCCCAUUGCGGCUCAGCAGGUUAAGAACCCACCAAGCAUUCAUGAGGAUGCAGGUUUGAUUCCUGGCUUCGCUCAUUGCAUUGAAGGAUCUGGCAUUGCUUUGAGGUGUGGUAUAGGUCGCAGAUGCAGGUCAGAUCUGGCGUUGCUGUGGCUGUGGUGUAGGCCAGCACCUGCAACUCCAAUUCAACUUUUAGCCUGGGAACUUCCAUAUGCUGUGGGUGUGGCCCUAAAAAGAAAAAAAGUUAAAAUGAGACCCUUAGCACAGGCACUAAUCUGGUAUGUCUGGUGUUCCUGCUGAGCCACAAUGGGAACUCCCUGCUAUUCUUAUUAAAAGGGAAAAUUUGGAUACAGAGAGAGGCACACACACAGGGAGAACAAAGAUUUUUCUCUUCCCACUACGUCCCUAGAAUUAUGCCCUGGAGGUACCUUGGGCCCAGCUACCCCAGUUCUCUCCCAGACAUGCCUUCUGCUUCUGCUUCUGCUUCUUGCUGGCAGGGGAUGAGAACUCUGGGAUCUCAUUGCCUUACCCUCAGCUUGUGGGACUCACAUCCCCUGUGCUCUCUGGCAAGAUGUAUACCUCACAGACCAGACCACUGUCUCUGAAACCCUGAAGUCUGCUCACUGCUAGCUUCCUCACUGGCUCUCCUGGAUCCAGACCCUUCCUAGUCGCAGGAAACAGAAGAGUCUGACUCUAACAUUCUGUACACUAUCCGAGUCUUGAGUCUUUUCCAGGCAUUGGCUUUGACAUUUCAAAAGCUUAAUCUUUUGCCUUCAGUAGACUUUUCUCUUAAACUCUCCCCUGCUUACAGUUUUGAAGUCUCUUUUGAAAUGUAAAAAUAUCAGGAAUCAAUUCUGUGCUUUCUUUCAUUUUUUUUCCUUGAGCAAUAAAAGCGAAAUAAUUAGUAGCCUAAAGGGAAAGGGUAUGGGGAGGGGUAGAGAUAACAGGAAAGAAUAGAUAGGAAAGAGGGGGUAUCAGUUAAUGUUCAAAAUACUGUCCUGCCACAUAUGUUUAUUGUUCUUUUCUCACCACAACUUCACAGCGGAUUUGCUGAGAUCCCACUCUUUUUGAAGAAAACUACUCUGGACCAAUGGAAAUGGUUAAACCAUAGGAUUAUAUUACUUUUCGUUUGUGGGCACAUCCAGGUGGAAAUAAGAACUUGCAUUCUUAUCAGCAGAAGGAAAAUUUUUAGCAUAUAGGAAGAACUAUUGUCAGCAUCUGUGGAAAAAGCCUUAGCUUUACUCCCCCAUGGAAGAAAGCCAACGAAAGCCGCCCCAUGAAUUUAACUUGAUAGAUGUUGAUUCUCUGCCUGAAGAAGAGAACCAAGCUGGGAAAGCUGGACUGGAAAGUAGGAAGAGUUUGCUUCCAUAAGACCAAUGGUCUGUCUGUGACAGACAGUGGCUCAGUUUUGACAAGCAUGUAGAGAGUACAUGCACUGGCCGAAUCCUGCAUUGGAGGUCAGAGAUAUAAAGAAUCUGUUAUUAUGCCUGCACUCAAAGGGCAUAUAGUACCAGAUACUACCUGUGUGAAUUUGCUAGAGCUACUAUAACAAAGUACCGUGAUGGGGUGGCUUAAACAACAGAAAUGAAUUUUCUCACAAUUCUGGAAGUUGGAAGUUAAAGAUCAAGGGGAAAAGUAAAUCUAAGUAGAUGUUCUCAUGUUUCCCCACUUCACCCUAGUACACUACCUCAGUGUGCUGUGCUGGGGGAGAAUCUGCCUGGACUGCGUACUGGAGGAGUUUAAGGUCUUGGAGCCUACGUGGAACAUGCCCAACUUACUGGUCACCAUUAUAAUCUCACCAGGAUACCAUAUGGUCAGUACUGUAUUAUAGGUAAUCUAAUACUAGCUACAAGAAUUUUGUUGGAACCAGUGACUCCAAGCUCCUUCUAUAUAGCAAAUCUUCAACUAGGUUAGCUACUGCAGAACAAAACUGCUUUUGGUUUUAGCUGCUUGUUUUCCUCCUCUUUGGUCACAUGGCUUAUUAUUUCUAUUUUUAUAGUCAACACUUGGCUAAAUGGCAAGUACUUGCAGGGUGUCAUUUAUCAAAAUCUGUUUUAGUUUUAAUUAAUUAGUUAAUUUAGUCUUCUUUAUGCUAUGGAUUAAAAAAACUCUUUGUAUCAGAGAGAUGGUACUUAAUAUGUUUUAGCUUUUCGUCCAUAAUCCAGUUGAUAAGAGGUGUUUUUUUUUUUUUACAUUUUAUUGAAGUAUAGUUGACUUACAGUGUUGUGAUAAUUUCUGCUGUACAACGAAGUGAGUCAGUUAUACACAUAUCCAUUCUCUUUCAGAUUCUUUUUCCAUAUAGAUUAUCACAGAAUAUUAGGUAGAGUUCUCUGUUCUGUACAGCAGGUCCCCAUUCACCAAUCAUUCCACAUACUUCAGAAUAAGAGUUUUAAGAACUAUUGUAUUUUAUGUAGAUAAUUAUGUAAUUUGCUAUUUGCAUAUGUAAGGAAUCUUUGAAUAUUCAUGAGGAAUAAAGGCUUUGAAGUCAGAAAAGGUGGGAUCCAAAUCUUGGCUCCAACACAAGAUGGUUUAGAAAUAUGUAAGAAAAAAGGAUGUAUACAUGUAUGUAUGACUGGGUCACCCUGACUGUAGAAGAUUGGCAGAACACUGUAAAGCAGCUAUAAUGGAAAAAAUAAAAAUCUUUAUAAAAAGAAAAGAAAAAAA
rnacentral:lncRNA from 1 species